UACGUAGGGGGCAAGCGUUGUCCGGAUUUAUUGGGCGUAAAGCGCGUGUAGGCGGCCACGCAGGUCCGCUGUGAAAACUCGAGGCUCAACCUCGAGCUGUCGGUGGAAACCGCGUGGCUAGAGUCCGGAAGAGGGGACUGGAAUUCCCGGUGUAGCGGUGGAAUGCGCAGAUAUCGGGAGGAACACCCGUGGCGAAGGCGGGUCCCUGGGACGGUACUGACGCUGAGGAGCGAAAGCCAGGGGAGCAAACGGG
rnacentral:rRNA from 1 species